GAUGAACGCUAGCGAUAGGCUUAACACAUGCAAGUCGAGGGGCAGCACAUGAGUAGUAAUACGAUGGUGGCGACCGGCGCACGGGUGAGUAACACGUAUGCAACCUACCCAUGACAGUGGAAUAACCCGUCGAAAGGCGGACUAAUACCGCAUAAUAACGAGAUACCGCAUGGUAUUUUGUUCAAAGAUUUAUCGGUCAUGGAUGGGCAUGCGUUCCAUUAGGUAGUUGGCGGGGCAACGGCCCACCAAGCCAUCGAUGGAUAGGGGUUCUGAGAGGAAGGUCCCCCACACUGGUACUGAGACACGGACCAGACUCCUACGGGAGGCAGCAGUGAGGAAUAUUGGUCAAUGGGCGGAAGCCUGAACCAGCCAUGCCGCGUGCAGGAUGACCGGCCCGUACGGGUUAGUAAACUGUCCGUUUUCCCCGGGGACGAAUAACGCCCCCCGCGGGGGGUGAUGCCGGUACCGGGGGAAUAAGGAUCGGCUAACUCCGUG
rnacentral:rRNA from 1 species